GAUGAACGCUAGCGGCAGGCCCUCACACAUGCAAGUCGAGGGGGAAGUUACUUUCGGGUAACAGAGACCGGCGUACGGGUGCGUAACGCGUAUACAAUCUGCCCUUUCACUGGGGGAUAGCCCGAAGAAAUUUGGAUUAAUACCCCAUAGUAUAGUAAUACGGCAUCGUGAUACUAUUAAAGCUUAGGUGGUGAAAGAUGAGUAUGCGUUCUAUUAGUUAGUUGGAGAGGUAACGGCUCCCCCAAGGCGAUGAUAGAUAGGGGUUCUGAGAGGGAUGUCCCCCACACUGGUACUGAGAUACGGACCAGACUCCUACGGGAGGCAGCAGUGAGGAAUAUUGGACAAUGGUCGGAAGACUGAUCCAGCCAUGCCGCGUGCAGGAUGAAGGUCUUAUGGAUUGUAAACUGCUUUUGUAAGGGAAGAAUAAGGGCUACGUGUAGUUUGAUGACGGUACCUUACGAAUAAGCAUCGGCUAACUCCGUGCCAGCAGCCGCGGUAAUACGGAGGAUGCGAGCGUUAUCCGGAAUCAUUGGGUUUAAAGGGUCUGUAGGCGGGCUGGUAAGUCAGAGGUGAAAGCGCUCAGCUCAACUGAGCAACUGCCUUUGAAACUGUUGGUCUUGAAUGGUUGUGAAGUAGUUGGAAUGUGUAGUGUAGCGGUGAAAUGCUUAGAUAUUACACAGAACACCGAUAGCGAAGGCAUAUUACUAACAAUUGAUUGACGCUGAUGGACGAAAGCGUGGGGAGCGAACAGG
rnacentral:rRNA from 1 species